GCGUGCGAGACAGUAGACGCAAGAUGCCGGAGCUCAGCGUGGAUGAAUGGGAUUCCAAAAGAAAGCGCUAACGCACAAAAUCAAAGGGAACUUUCUGGGAUGAAUCAACUAGAAGGAGGCAGGUGAACUACUGGCAGUCCUGGAAACCUCCCAGAGAAUCUGCAAAUUUCUUUAAAAGGCUUUUAGGAAUUCUUCAUAUUCUUGAGUGUUCCUGCCAGCUCACCAGAGACUGACCUACAACUUUCUGUGCACAUGGAAGAGUACAAAGUUUUAAUGCAUGCUGCCUCAGCUAUUUAGGCCAGCAAGACCUGAAGACAUAAAUGAUUAAGCUAAGAGAAAUUUUGUGCUUUAACUGAACUGUUUAUUAGUUCUCUGGGAAAGUUCUGGCUGUGAAAGGCGAGAUGGGAUUUGAAGAAGAACACAGGUAACCACUUGCCCCUGAGGAGGAGGAGGAUAAGGAGGGCUGUUUCUAGGGCUGCUUACACAUUCCUAAUCCCUGGAACACUGACUGUCCCAAAAGCAUGGUUGACUUCAUCUAGGAAGGCAGCGUUUCUCUUUGACCUUGGAGUAGAAUCCAGAACCAAUUCUGGCUACAUUUUGUCUGACUCCCAUGCUCUUCCCCGCUAUGGCUGCUGCCCUUAGCAUGGACCCAGCUGCCGGCCACCCUGUCCCACCACCCUGAUUCCACUUCUGCCCACAGCGGCAGGGCCAGGAGCUGAUAGAGGUUCAAGACCAAAUGCCAGGUCCUUUACUUUGAUCACAAUAACCCCAUGCAGUGCUACAGGCUGGGGGCACAGUGACUGGAAAGCUGCCCAGCAGAAAAGGACCUGGGGAUGCUGAUCAACAGAGACUGAACACGAGGCAGCAGUGUGGCCAGGUGGGCAAGAAGGCCAAUGGCACCCUGGCUUGUAUCAGAAAGAGUGUGACCAGCAAAACCAGGGCAGUGAUACUUCCCCUGUACUAGGCACUGAUGGGGCUGCACCUCAAAUGCUGUGUCCAGUUCUGGGGCCUUCAAUUCAAGAAUUGAGGUUGAGGUGCUGGAGCAGGUCUGGAAAAGGGCAACGAAGCUGGUGAAGGGUCUGGAGUACAAUUCUGAUGAGGAGCAGCUGAGGGAGCU